rnacentral:rRNA from 1 species
UACGGAGGGUGCAAGCGUUAUCCGGAUUCACUGGGUUUAAAGGGUGCGUAGGUGGAGUGGUAAGUCAGCGGUGAAAUCUCCAAGCUUAACUUGGAAACUGCCGUUGAUACUAUCAUUCUUGAAUAUCGUGGAGGUAAGCGGAAUAUGUCAUGUAGCGGUGAAAUGCUUAGAUAUGACAUAGAACACCGAUUGCGAAGGCAGCUUGCUACACGAUCAUUGACACUGAGGCACGAAAGCGUGGGGAUCAAACAGG